CAGGAGGGGAUGGGCCCUAGUAACGGCGAGUGAGCGGCAACAGCUCAAAUUUGAAAUCUGGCUCUCGGGCCCGAGUUGUAAUUUGUAGAGGAUGCUUUUGAUGCGGUGCCUUCCGAGUUCCCUGGAACGGGACGCCAUAGAGGGUGAGAGCCCCGUCUGGUUGGAUGCCAAAUCUCUGUAAAGCUCCUUCGACGAGUCGAGUAGUUUGGGAAUGCUGCUCUAAAUGGGAGGUAUAUGUCUUCUAAAGCUAAAUACCGGCCAGAGACCGAUAGCGCACAAGUAGAGUGAUCGAAAGAUGAAAAGCACUUUGAAAAGAGAGUUAAAAAGUACGUGAAAUUGUUGAAAGGGAAGCGUUUAUGACCAGACUUGGGCUUGGUUAAUCAUCUGGGGUUCUCCCCAGUGCACUUUUCCAGUCCAGGCCAGCAUCAGUUUUCGCCGGGGGAUAAAGGCUUCGGGAAUGUGGCUCUCUCCGGGGAGUGUUAUAGCCCGUUGCGUAAUACCCUGGCGGGGACUGAGGUUCGCGCAUCUGCAAGGAUGCUGGCGUAAUGGUCAUCAACGACCCGUCUUGACCAACGGGACCCACAA
rnacentral:rRNA from 1 species